rnacentral:rRNA from 1 species
GGACUCGCACAAGCGGUGGAACAUGUGGUUUAAUUCGAAGCAACGCGCAGAACCUUACCAGUCCUUGACAUGGGGAGUUUGGUUUCCGGAGACGGAUUCCUUCAGUUCGGCUGGCUCCCACACAGGUGCUGCAUGGCUGUCGUCAGCUCGUGUCGUGAGAUGUUGGGUUAAGUCCCGCAACGAGCGCAACCCUCAUCUUUAGUUGCCAUCAGUUAGGCUGGGCACUCUAGAGAAACUGCCUGCGAUGAGCAGGAGGAAGGCGGGGAUGACGUCAAGUCCUCAUGGCCCUUAUGGACUGGGCUACACACGUGCUACAAUGGCGGUGACAGUGGGAAGCGAUAGGGUGACCUGGAGCAAAUCCCCAAAAGCCGUCCCAGUUCGGAUUGUACUCUGCAACUCGAGUGCAUGAAGUUGGAAUC